UCGAGUUGCGCGGAAAUGACGAUGCCAGCGCAUGGCUCACUGUGCGCAUACGCAGUGGGAAGGAUUCCGGCUGCUAGUCACUGGAGCGUCUGCGCAAACGCAAUGUACAUGGUCUCCAUGGCUACACCAACGCUGCGUACUCCGAUGCCUCUAGUGUAACACACCGCACUUCCGGAGCACAUGCACUGUUGAUUUUCACCCACGCUAAUUACCUCCAUUACAGCGAGACGUUGAGAAACCCCAGGCAAAGACUAUAUAACGGUCAAGGACAUGACACAUGUUGUACAAUGAGUAAAGAAGAAGCAGGUUUCUGUGGUCACGUACUCCUGGUACCUGCCUGGAAAUAAUCCUACAAUUAUAAGUGGUUGGCCUCCUUUGUGUGAAUCCUGUGGAGUCGGCUAUGAAACCUAUUGGCAUUAACAAACACUGAGGCAACAAAGGAACCUACUGAAUAAUGAUUUUCAGCAUAAAACACAAAAAGUCCCCUCUGUGCCCUAUAUCUAGAAAUAUUUCCAAUCUACAUUUCUGUGAAAUGGCUGAGGUUAGUAUACGUGUCAUAAAGUAUCCAUGGAAACAAUCUUUCGGUGACAUCAGAACAAUAUUUGAUGCAAGGAGCUGCAGGUGGAAUGCUGCUAUUUCUGCAUUGUGCCUUUCAAAAUCUGAGAAGUAAAAGAAAUCUGGGGGAGUCUCUUGAUCACGUUCCUGUCUGCAAGAUAAAGUUCAAGUAGUUUUCAAUUAUAAUUUCAUCUAAAACCUGAAGGCAAACAUGGCUGCUAUACCAUAUGUUAACAUGGGCGACAAAUAAGCGUUUGUAGGAAUGCUUGUUCCCGAUAAUUGGCCAAUGCAAAAGGACCAGUGAUCAGCUGAUAAAGGAGAAAAUGGUCAAUCAUUGGCUGAUCAGAUCUUUCAUGCAGCAUUAAAAUCAUUGUUAUCGCCCACACAUUACCCUGUGUAAAUGAGACAUGUGCGGCC